GGAGAGGGGCAUUCACUAAUUAGAUAGUAGAUAAAAACUACUUUAGGUGAAGGGAAAGACAGCACACAACACAGGGGAGGUCAGCACAAUUGGACUAAACCAAAAGCAAAGAAGUUUCCUGAAUAAACUGAAUGCUUUGAAGGCCAGUGUAGCAGGGGCAGGGGUCUGGCGAGCAUGGUUUCAGGGGACAUCUAAGUCAAUUGGCAUAAUAAAAUCUAUUAAGAAAACAUUCUGCAUCCCACUUUGAAGAGUGACUUCUGGGGUCUUAAAGGCUAGCAAGCAGCCAUCUAAGAUGCAUCAAUUGGUCUCAACCCACCUGGAUCGAAGGAGAAUGAAGAACACCAAGGACACAAGAUGAUUACGAGCCCAAGAGACAGAAAGGGCCACAUGAACCAGCGACUACAUCAUUCUGAGACCAGGAGAACUAGAUGGUGCCUGGCUACAACCGAUGACUGCCCUGACAGGGAACACAGUAGAGAACCCCUGAGGGAGCAGGACAGCAGUGGGAUGCAGACCCUAAAUUCUCAUCAGACCAGACUUAUUGGUCUGACUGAGACUGGAAGGACCCUGGUGGUCAUGGCCCGCAGACCUUCUGUUGCCCCAGGACAGGAACCUUUCCCGAAGCCAACUCUUCAGACAUGGAUUGGACUGGACAAUGCGUUGGAGGGGGAUUCUGGUGAGGAGUGAGCUUCUUGGAUCAGGUGGACACUUGAGACUAUGUUGGCAUCUCCUGCCUGCAGGGGAGAUGAGAGAGUGGAGGGGGUUAGAAGCUGGCAAAAUGGACACGAAAAGAGAGAGUGGAGGGAGAGAGAGGGCUGUCUUAUUGGGGGGAGAGUAAUUGGGAGUGUGUAGCAAGGUGUAUAUGGGUUUUUGUGUGAGAGACUGACUUGAUUUGUAAACUUUCACUUAAAGCACAAUAAAAAUUAUUUUAAAAAAUGUGCAGAAUCUAUAGGGCAAAAAAGUUUAAACUCUCAUGAGAGAAACAAAACAUAGGUAAAUAAAUGAAACACCUUGUUCUUGAAUAGAAGCACCCAAUAUUUUAAUAAUACCAAUAAUUUCUCUGCUAAAGUAACAACAAAUAGAAAAAAAUAUUAAAAUUAUUUUAAUUACUUAAAAUGUUAAUAUUACUUAAAAUCAUUUAAGUGUUUUUUUUCUGUAUGCUGAAAAUAACACUUCAAGUUAUUUUUCAGGUAGAGCAUUUGCUCUAUCCUGAGCUGAAUAUUCCAUGUCUGUGGUAGGUGGAAUUCUAAAGAUGGUCUUCUGAAGUGCAGUUGGUUUCUCUCAUAUAUGAUUUUUCUGACCCUGGGUUUGUAAUUCUGUCAGAAAUGAUUGGUUGGGCUGCAGAUGCCCUGUGAUUGGUCUGUUUUACUCGGUUUACAGGGAUUGAUUGGUUUACUGGUUGGAAAGGUGGUGUGUAAAACCACCCAAUAGGAUGGAGUGAUUUUCAAUCCACUGAGGGGAUUGGUUGGUUCAUGGUCCUACUGGAAGGGCCAUGCAUUGAAAUUAACAAGGAGUUUGCUUAUAUAAGCAAACUGUGGUCAACCCCAGAGAGGUUUUUAAAAAGAGGUGAGGAAGGAACCUCAAAACCAAGAAGAGGGUAGAGUGGAGCAGUUUGGACCUGGGGUUUCUGCAAGGAGAACCUCCUAAAAGAGCCGUAAUAAGGGUCAAGGGCUGCAACACUUAAGACGGUCAGAGGCAAGGUAGGGGCUUGAUGGCAGAGUAGCCCAGGAGGGGUCUGGUGACAGUAGAAAGGUACUGCUAGGAGAGCAACAACUGAGCAAGCUGCUGUACUGGCUAUGAGCUGGGUCACGUAGCAGCGGAAAGGCUGACAGUAGAGAUGCUGAAGGCAGAGAGGCCUGUUAGCACAGCAGAGAGUCCUACUAGCACAAGAGAGAGGCCUGCUUGCAUGGCACAAAGGCUGGCUAGCAUGACAGAGAGGUCUGCUUGUACAGCAGAGAGGCUUGCUUGAAUGGUAGGGAGGCCUGCUAGUAGCAAAGCAGCUGAGACAGCUGUUCCGAUUAGAACCUGUCCCACACUGAAGAAGGGAGGGAUAUGCUCUUCGCUUCUGGAGAGCCUUCCUGUGCCCAUGUGCUUCCUGAUCCUGAUUCCGAGUCGUUUCUGUUGCUUCCAAGUUGAUCCUGAUCUGGAGUUGUAGCCUGUUACUUAAUAACACAUAAUUGUGAGUAUGAUCUGUGAGUUCUGUGUGGCCAUUGCAAUGGCCACAAACCCAAACCCAGCAGAGAAGUAGAGAGUGCUGUGGUGGGAAUGGCUGGUGUCAGAAAUGGUGAAGAAAUUAGAAAGUGGAGGUAUGUCUGACCUUUGCCUCAUAGGAACUAGCUUUGUGUUAAUCCUGAUUCUUAUCCCUCGUGCAUUUAGAUAUUUCCUUACAUUGCAAGAGGACUUCCCUCCUCCCUCAAGAUUCCCAUCUCCUAGUUAUUCAAUCAGAACUAAUCUAGGUACUUAUGAGAAGAGAUUUUGUAAUUAUAAAGAGUCCAAAGUCAGUUGACCUUAAAAUACAGAGAUUAUCUAGGCGGGUCUCGAGUAUAAUUUAACUUUAUCUAAAGGAUUUGGCCUUUAUCCUUGGUUUCUGAGAGAUAAACUCUAAAACCUUGGACAUUUUCCAAUGAUCAAAAGGUCUUUGAUGAGGACUCCAGACCACACCUGAGGGUUUAUGACUCCAAUUGGGUGGGGGGUGACUAUGCCAGAAAGACCCACUGAUGUAGACUUCCUGAUGUCCCUCUUGUGAUGUCAGCUUCCUGAUAUCAUGUGACCUCCUGGGAGAGGGGCUGGAGUUUUAAUUAUGUAGUGAGGGCUCUAAUAAAAGCUCUCAACACUGAAUCUUCAUGAGCUUCUUGAUUGGUGAAAGACUUCUGCUCUUGCAGGUGAUAUACCCUCUUUGGGACAUGGACCCUUCCCAUUGGAACCCUCCCAAACCUCCCUCUAUGUGUCACUUCUUUGUGCCAAACCUGAUUUGUAUCCUUUAUAUUAAACUUGUAAUUAUAAGUAGCACUUUCUGUGAGUUCUAUGACUUGUUUACCAGUCUGAUCAAAUCAUGUGAGUUCUUUAAAAGGCAGAAGGGGAAGUCAGAGAGAUUUAAAGAGUGAAAAGGACUCGACAUGGCAUUCCUGGUUUGAAGAUGGUGGGGGUCACAUGAGAAUAAUUAUGGACAUCCACGAGGAGUUGACUGAGGCCUCUGCCAACAGCCAGCAAGGAAUAGAGACCUCCAAGGAAUUGCAUUCUGCCAACACUUGAAUGAGCUUGGAAGUGGAUUCUUCCCCCAGAGAACCUCCAGAAAGGAAUGCAGCCCUACCCACACCUUGAUUUCAGCCUUGAACAGAGGACCCAGUCGAGCCUACCCAGACUUCUGACCUACAGAACCUUAAGCAGCACUAGAUGACUAUGACAGAAACAAUACAAACCUGAUCACAGACACCUACCAGGGUCCAGUGAACACAGUGUGCAUGAUGAGACACAUCCAGGGGAAGGAAUCCCAAAAGAAGACACAGCUCAAGGCUUUCAGAAGAGGAAAGAAAGCAUCACCUGACUCAGGUAUUGCUCUGACAAGAAGCAUAACAUUGGGAGGGUAAACACCAUGUAUGAUAAAUAAAGGAGCAACUUUGUAAUCACGUGCCCAGGGACUGGUAUGAAGCAGGCAUGUCAUGAAUAUUUUUUGAAUGAAAUAUGGUUUGGAUGAACCAAUCAAUCAGUUAGUCCAUAUAAACCGAAUUACGAAGGUAUGAGUUUCCACCAUCUUUAUGGCCAGAAAUCUUCUAUUCAGUGGGUCCCCCAAGUACAUCCAAAUGUUUCCAGGUGAGCUACUCCUGAAGAUACUCUUGUCACCUUUGCCUGCCACCUGUUCCAAUAGCCUCCCAAGACUGUCCUUUCCCCCUGACCAUCAGAGCCCCUCCAGGCUGUCUUUUAAAACGUCUUUAUUGAAAGUUUAAAAACAAUGCAAGGGAAAUACAAAAAAGAGAAUAGUUUAAAAUGACUGUACAGAAAUUUGAAUAUGGAGUGGAUACUAGCCAACUUUAUGGUAUUGUGGUUAAGUAGGAGACUGUCCUUGUUCUUAGGAGGUACAUGCUUUAGUGAGGUAUAAAACUUACUUACAAAAAAAUUGUUUGAAAAAGAGAGCUAAAGCAAAAUGUGGAAAAAUGUUAACAAAUACUGAAUUUUGGUAGAAAUUAGAUAGGUAUUCAAUAAGAUAUUCUUUCAGGUUUCUAAAUGGACAUUUUUGUAAUUAAAAAUUGGAAAAAUUUUUUUUAAAGGAAAAAAUUAAUACACAGGCUGUGACAAACUUUUAGUGCCUAUACAAUUUCCAUUCUCCCUUCUUCCUUCCUAUGAUUUUCUUUCUUUUUUAUGGAGGAACAGCUUGUGGUCAGGUUUGUUUGUUUUUUAAAAAGACAUUUCCUACCUUCGUUUGCAUAUAGGGAUUAUCAUGUGACUAAGUUCUAGUCAAGGAAAAGUAGGUGGAAGUUGUUGGGUCAGCCUUCUGGAAAUUUCCUUAAAAAGGAGGAUUUGUCACACAAUGAGAUACCAUCUCACCCUGAAAUACUGGCACAAAUUAAGAAAAAAUAACAACAACAGAAAAUAACAAAUGUUGGAGAGGCUAUGGGAGAUUAGAACUCUUAUGCACUGUUGGUGGGAAAGUAAAAUGGUACAACCACUUUGGAAAAUGAUAUGGUGCUUCCUUAAAAAGCUAGAAAUAGAAAUACCAUAGGAUCCAGCAAUCCCACUCCCAGGUAUAUGUCCUGGAGAAAUAAAAGCCAUUACAUGAAUAGACAUAUGCAUACCCAUGUUCAUUGCAGCACUCUUCACAAUAGCAAAAAGAUGAAAACAACCUAAGUACCCAUCAACAGAUGAAUGGAUAAACAAACUGUGGUACCCACACAAUGAUAAAGAAUACUGAAUCCGUGAAACAUUUCACAACAUGGAUAUAUCUGGAGGGCAUUAAGCUGAGUGAAAUAAGUAAGUCACAAAAGGACAAAUAUUGUAUAAGACCACUAUUAUAAGAAUUCAAGGAAAGGUUUACACAUAGAAAAAAACAUUCUUUGGUGGUUACAAGGAUGGGGAGGGAGGGGAAGGGGAAAUCACUAACUAGAGAGUAGACAAGUGUCAACUUUGGUGAAGGGAAAGGCAACACAAUAUGGAGGGAGUCGGCACAACCUGACCAAAGCAAAGGCAUAGAAGUUUCCUAGACACAUCCAAACACCUUGAGGGACUGAGUUGCUGGGGCUGAGGGGUGGGAACCACAGUCUUGGGGGACAUCUAUGUCAACUGGCAUAACACAGUUCACAAAGGAAGGGCUCUACAGCCCACUUUGGUGAGUAGUGUCUGGGGUCUUAAAAGCUUGCGAGCAGCAAUCUAAGAUGCAUCUGUUGGUCCCAUCCCAUCCAGAUCAAAGGAGAAUAAAGAAAACCAAAGACACAAGGAAAAUAUUAGCCCAAAGGACUAAAGGACCACAUGAACCACAGCCUUCAGCAGCCUGAGCGCAGAAGAACUGGAUGGUGCCUGGCUACAACCACCAACCACUCUGACAGGGAUCACAACAAAGAAGUCCCAGACAGAAGGGAGAAAAAUGUAGAACAGAAUUCAAUUCAUGUAAAAAGAACAGACUUAUUGGUCUGACAGAGACUGGAGGAACCCCUGAAACUAUGGCCCCCGGACACUCUGCUAACUCAGAACUGAAAUCACUGCCAAAGCCCACUUGUCAGACAAAGAUGAGACAAGUCUGUAAAACAAACAAUAACACAUGUGAGGAACGUGCUUGUUAGUUCAAUCAAACAUAUGAGACCAAGUGGACAACUCCUGCCCAAAAGCAGAGGAAAAGGCAGGAAGGGACAAGAACUGAACGAAGGGACACGGAACCUGGGGAGGAAAUGGGGAGAGUGCUGACACAUUGUGGGGAUUGCAACUGUUGUUACAAAACAGUAUGUGUAUGAAUUUUUGAAUGAGAAACUAACUUGAACUGUAAACUUUCACCUAAAGCACAAUUUAAAAAAGGGGGGAGGUUUCAGCUGUAAGACACUCUCUGACCCUUCUCUGCUUCCUCUUGCCUGGAACCAAGACGUGGCUGGAGCUGCAGUGUGUACCGUGCAACCAUGACAACAAAUCUUUUUUUUCAAUUGUUUAUUAGGUGAAAGUUUACAGAGCACGUUAGUUUCCCAUUCAAUAGUUUGUUCAUAAAGUGUUUCAUGACCUUGGUUUCAUUUCCCACAAUGUGUUAGCACUCUCCCCAUUUCCGCCCUGGGUUCCCCACUUUCUUUUGCCCUGAUUUUCUACCCCUUCCGGCUUCUCAUCUUUGCUUUUGCCCUUUUGAUCUCGUGUAAUUGACUGUUCUAAGGAGUAUGUCCCUCUCAGGUGUUUUUAUUUAUCUUACGUGUUUGUCUAUUAUUUGGCUGGGAGGUGGUCUCUGGGAAUGGCCUCAUUUCCAGGUCAGAAGGAUGUCUUAGAGCCAUAGUUUUGAGGGUUUCUCCAGUCUCUGUCAGACCAGUAAGUCUGGUCUUUUUUGUGAAUUUGAUUUUUUUGUUCUACAAUUUUUUCCUGCUCUGUCCAGGACCCUCUGUUGUGAUCCCAGUCAGAGCGGUUGGUAGUGGUAGCCGGGUACCUGUAGUACUUGUGCUCUUGGGGUCAUGUAGGUUGUGAUUCAUAUGGUACAUUGGCCAUGAAGAAAUCUUGAUGGAUGGUAGAGUAAAAAAGAUAGGAGCCUAAUCAUUGUUGACAUUGUUGUACGUUCACUUGCGGUCAUGGUGGAAAGUUCUAGUACACUUAACAGCUUCCCACUUCAAUAAACUGUGGGGCUUUCUCCAGCACCAUGGAAGCUUGCACAACCUCUAUACAGUAGCCGUCUGGACAUGCUGGGGCUUUAGUACCCCAGGGUCAAUUCUGAACCAGUGGUGCAAAGAAUUGGGUUAAAUGCCUCAGCUUUUCCACCUCUCCCUGGACAGUUCUGAAGCACUUUUUUCAUGACUCUUCAGAGGGUCCCCAGCAGGACUGAGCCCUUUGCCCACAGUAGUAACCUGCUCUUUAACUGCACCUUUUUUGGCUUCCCUCCCUUUCAAGUCCCCACUUCCUCCUGGAAUCAUUUCCAAACAAACUACCUCUAUCCAGAAUCUACUUUUGUAGGAACCCAAACUAAGACAGGCUAGAAUAUUAGCGUCCUUUGGAAUUAAUGGGAACGCUUGAAGCUUAAAACAGGGGCUACUCAGAUGAGUGUGGAUUGGCAGCUGGGGACCUUAGAGGCGAGGGCAGGAGGUUGGAAACUCAGAGGUCAGGGGGGAGCUGGUACACUGGUCUCUAUGAGGGUUGACAAGAGCUGAGCAAGUCAGCGAUGGUCUGUCUGACAUUCCAGAUGUAAACUGAGCAAAGCACAGGUGCAAAGUAGUCCCUGAAGAAGGCUCCUCUGGUAUGUUUGGGGUCUUAACAUUUUUAUUUUUAAAGAAAUGCUCUUCUGGAAUGUUCUGGAACUCUAAGAGGACAAAGAAGCACUUCAGACCCUUCAUCAGGGGAAGGCAGUGUCCUCCAAAGAAGAGUGACUCAGGCUUACUGGCCAGUGGAGUGGCCCAUGGCCAGGCCCAGGACUUGGCUGGCGGGUCCCAGCCCAGUCCAGAAGAAGCCAUGCCAGUGUGGCAAUGAUGCGUCAUUGACUUGGUUUACUGUCAGCCGGACCUGACCGUGACUGAGCAAGGCUAUGAAGUUUCCCAGUCUGGGCCAGUAUUGGUGUAUGGACAGAGGGAACUGCGGGUGGGUGGCAAGUCAGGGCCUUACAGAGGCCAAGAAUGGGGAAGCUUGUGGCCUCCUUCCACCAUCUGGCAGCACUACUCCACCCCUUUCCCAGGUCAACUGCUUUUCUGGUCCUCCCUGGGAUGGAGGUUCUCAAGGGCAGCCCAUCCCCAUCAUGGUACUGCCUGUGCCCAGGGCAGGUCCAAUCUGACCUGUUGUGGGAUUUGGCAUGGCAGGGUUGUGAUCUGUACACCACACAACCAGCAGGUCGGUCUAUGGGCUGAUCACUUCCUGUCCUUCAUGCUGCCCCAGGGCCGGGCCCCUCCUCCCGAGCCUACUCAUUAGACAGGCCCUGAUCUUUUUUUUUACUGUGGCAAAAUAUAUAUAACAUAAGAUUUACCAUUUUAAUCACUCUUAAGCAUAUGACUCAGUGUGAGUAAUUAAAUUCAUGAUGUUGUAUCCCCAUCGCCACUAUUUAUUUCCAAACUGUUUUCAUCAUCCAAAACAGAAACUCUACCCAUUAAGCCAUAGCUCCCUAUUCUUCUUUCCCCUCAGCCCCUGGUAACCACAAAUCUCCUUUCAGACAGGCCCUGAUUUUGACCCAAUUACUCUAGAAUCAUUCUCACAUGUGUCCAGGGCGCCCAGGAAGGUGGUGGCUGAGGAGUGGGCAGGUGCCUCCGCUCUGUCCUCCUGGCCUCCUCCAGGCACCAGGAAAACGGGCCGUGCUCACAGACUCUUCCCUGCUUGCUGGUCUCUAAGAGCUUGUCAGAGCAACUUUGCUGCCCGUAACAACAAGGGUCAUUGGUGAAAACAACCAACAGCUAAGGGAGGCGGGUCAGGAAAUGAUAGAAACAGAGAAUUCUCUGUUCUCAUCCCUGUAAAAGCACCAACCCCCUGCUCCUCCCAGUGGUGCUACUUCUUCACCAGUAUCUGGAGAUGUCAUAUUGCCUUCCUAGUGACAUGGCUCAUGACAUUUAUGGAUUACUCUGACUUAUUAGGAAACUAUAUAAUCACACCAAACCUGCUUUCGUAUAAUUUUUCACCUUUUUCUUGGACAUUUGCAUUUCACUCACAAAAAAAUUACACCUUUUUGUCAAGAUUUUCCAACUUAUUGCCAUAAAGCCGUGUAUAGUAUUUUUUAUAUGUUUGAAUAUCUGUACCUUGAUCUUCUUCCUUAUAGCAAAUUUUAUUUUUGUUUUCUCCUUUCUGUGAUCACACUUUUCAAAAACUGUUUUAUCUCAAUGAAAUUAGCAUUUGGCUUAGCUGAUCAAAUUUAUUAAUGGGUUUUAUUAAUUUUUACUUUUUGAUUUCUGCUUUUAUCAUCUCUAUUUUUUUUUUUUUUUGAAUCUCUGCUUAUACUUCCUUUGGAUUUAUCUUGCUGUUCAUUUGUUUCUUUGGUUGAAAACUUAAUUCACCUAAUGUCGGUCUGUUUUUUUUACUAAAUGCACUUGUGGGAGUGCAUUUUCCUCUGAGCGUUGCUUUGACAACAUCUCCAAGACGUUGAUAUGUAGCUCGCUAAUUAUUGUUUGUUUCUGAAUGGUUUGUAAUUUAUUUUUCACUUUCUUUUGAAACCAAGAAUCAUCUAGACAGCUUUUAUAAAAAUUUCCAAGUUAACAGAUUUGGGGCUACAUUUAAGAAAACAAUUCUAUUGUGUUGUGGAGUGAUAAUACAGCCUGUAUGAUUUUUCACUUUUCUCUAACUUUAAUCCACCUAUCUCAGGUCUGUGCUCUGGUCCCCGUCAAAGAAAUUUUCAUUUUCUUUCACAGGUUGCUCCCUUAAAUAUUUGAUAGCAGUUAUUUAGCAAUCCCUGCGGCAGCAACAGUUAAAGGGAAGGGAGAGAAGUCCAGUCCUCAGCCGGAGACAAUCCCAUCCUGUGGGGCUUCUUAAAUUACCCAGAUGCCCCACUCUCCAUACCUGUCAUCACAGACAGGAAAGAGAAAACUGCUAAGUUAGACAUUCACAGUAGGACAGAUGUGGCAGGAUCUCACUGUCUUGGGGUUCAUCUCUGGAGAUGUCCAAGUCUUUCAAUGUCCCUCCUUAAUAAGCCUUUCAGGUCAACACAGUGCUCAGGGAGCAGAAGGCAGUGGAGCACCUCCCCUCAGCUCUGGAGUCUGUACUUGUCUAAACCUGCUUCUAGCUUUGUCUUUUUUAUAGCCCAGCCCAUAAACUAGAGCCCCAAAUCAGGGUUCUCCACACUGUGUUCCACAGAGCACCAGUUCUGUAGCUAGUAAUAGGUGAUGUACAGAAAGGUUCUCUUUGGGGACUGCUGAGUUAAACAAGGAGAAAAUGGACUUCUUUACCUUGGACACUCAGAGCCUCUGUAUUUUCUAAAGUGUAAAUUGACUUUCUAUGAGGAGGAAAAAGUCUGGUAGUUUCUCCCAAGCGAAUCUGCAAUGGAACCCUUUUAUGGAACACAGGUAACAUUCUAGAACAGACACAUGUGCCGUGUUGUUCAAGACCCUAUUUUCAAAUGUAUCCCCACUAAGACUUUGGUUUGCCUUGAUCAAAUUUUUUUAGUCUGAGGAUUAGAAUCAGUCCUUCCCAACCCUCUCAGUGUGUAUGUAUCCUGAUUCUACAAGCCAGUGUUUCUAGAAUCCAAUGGGCUUCUCCCUGUUGGCAGACCAGAUCAGCACACCACCUGUGUGCGCAUGCAGUGCACGUACACCUAAUUGUUUAGAAAGGGACAAGACCAAAGACAGAGCCUUGCAGUGUGCCUCAUCCAUGGAAUGAUUUGAUUGAUCGGUAGGAGCAGCCUAGAACAGUGCUUCUCAGACUUCCUUGUGCAGGCGAAUCACCUGGAGACAUUGCUAAAAUGCAGAACCUGAGUCAGUGGGUUGGGUUGUGUCUGAGAUUUUGCAUUUCUAACAAGCUCCCAGGUGAUGCUGACACUGCAGGUCUUAAGUCCACAGCCUGAGUAGCAAAGCACUGGAGCACCGUGUUGAGAAGGCAGUUGCUUGAACAGAACAAGGGGAUACGACCGAACCCAAACUCGAUGCGGCCGAGUCUAUUCUGACUCAUGCAACCCUAUAGAUUAGAGUAGAACUGCCCCAUAGGGUUUCCAAGGCUGUAGUCUUUACAGAUGAGGAGUCCUGGCAGUGAAGUAAUUAAAGCACAAGGCUGCUAACCAAAAAAUUGGUGUUCGACCCCAUCAGCCUCUGCAGGAGAAAGAUGUGGCAGUCAGCUUCUAUAAAGAUUACAGCCUCGUAAUGAGUUGGAAUUGACUCGAUUGCAAGGGGUUUGGUUUAACCGCUGUGCUACCAGGGUGUUUUCAGAAAAUGUGUGCAUCAGGGUUGUAUCCUUUCACCAUACUUACUCAGUCUGAAUGUUGAGCAAAUAAUCUGAGAAGCUGGAUCAGGAUCAGGGGAAGACUGAUUAACAGCCUGAGAUAGGCAGAUGACACAACCUUGCUUGCUGAAAACGAAGAGGACUUGAAGCACUUACUGAUGAAGGUCACAGCCUUCAGAAUGGAUUAUACCUUAAAGAAAACAAAAAUCCUCACAACUGGACCAAUGACUGAUAUCAUGAUAAACAGAGAAAAGAUUAAAGUUGUCAAAGAUUUCAUUGUACUUGGAUCUUCAAUCAACGCCCAUGGAAGCAGCAAUCAGGAAAUCAAACAAAGUAUUGCAUCAGGCAAAUCUACUGCAAAAGACCUCUUUAAAAUCUUAAAAAGCAAAGUUAUCACUUUGAUGACUAAGGUGUGACUGACCCAAGCCAUUGUAUUUUCAAUUGCCUCACAUGCAUGUUAAAGCUGGACAAUGAUUAAUGAAGACAGAAUAAAUAUUAACAUAUAUGAACUAUGGUGUUGGUGAAGAAUACUGAAUAUACUGUGGACAGAAGAACGAACAAAUUUGCCUUGGAAGAGGUACAGCCAGGAUGCUCCUUAGAAGCGAGAAGGGCGAGACUUCUUCGUGUGGCUUACUUUUGACAUGUUAUCGGGAGGGAUCAGUGCCUGGAGAAGGAUAUCAUGCUUGGUAGAGGGUCAGAGACAAAGAGGAAGACCCUCAAUGAGAUGGAUUUUUCACGGUGGCUGCCACAACAAGUUCAAACGUAGCAGCGAUUAUGAGGAUGGCACAGGACUGGGGAAAAUUUUGUUCUCUUAUUCAUAAGGUCAUUAUGAGUCGGCACUGACUCAACAGCACCUAACGACGACAACAUCAACAUAGAGAUGAAAUAGUUAUGAGCAGGGAGGGGCACACAGGGGACACACAGAGAGAGUUUCUAGUUUCUAUUCCUUCAUCUGAGUGUUGGUGAGUUAUUCAUUAAACUCUACAAAGAAGUUUUUUUUUCAGUUUUCUAUAUGCUAUAUACAGCAUAUGCUAUGUACGACAAGCUCAUAUGUAUAUAAACAUACGUGGUUGUUGUAGAGAAGGAAGCCCAGGAAACAGGUGAUUGUGAUUAUCUCCACAGAAGAGAACUGGAGGUUGAUGUAUCGAGACGUCACAAGAGUCACUUUUCAUUUCACCUCUUUGAUUUAGUUUGAAUGUUUUUACCAGCUGCUUUUUCUAUUAAAGAUAGUUAAUUAAAAAAAAAAAAUCUCUUUCAUCACCUGCCCCUCCCCCAGUUCCACAAAUAAACAAUAACCAAAAAAAAAAAAAAAAAAGAUCAGCUGCCAAGUGGAUUCCGACUUAAGAAGACCCCAUGUGUUUCAGAGUAGAACUGCGCUCCAUAGGAUUUUCAUGGCUGUGACCAUUUGCAGCAGAUUGCCAGGCCUUUCUGCCAGAGGGACCACUGGAAUCCUGAACACCUCCCUAGACUGGCCAUGGAGAAGGAUGCAGAACCUGGAGGAGGGCGUAACUGUCUGUGGUGCAGUGAAUUACUGUUAUAUGGCCUGUAUAGCCAUGGUCUCUUAACUCCCACAAAAUGAUUGGCUGGGACUAUACAAAUAAGGUGUAUAAAGCUCUUGAGGGAUUGGACGACAACCAUGCAAAUAAGGUGCCUAUGGUCUACCAAGAGCAUUGGUCAGUUUUGCCAUCCCGGUAGGCUUAAAAGAGCCAAUCCUACAGAAGUUGAAGAAGACCUCACUACCAUCAAGAAGAAAAGCCGGGAGUGGAGUGUGCCCUUUGGAGCCAGGACCCCUGUGCUGAGAAUUUCCUAGACCCAGGAGACAGAGAGAGCUGUAACACUGUAGAUGGCAUGAGAUAGCACAAGAUGUCACGAGCAAUGAGAACCAGGAGACCAGCAUAAGAAAGCUGCUUUGGGCUUCCCAGCCUAUGGUGCAGUGUGGCUAGAGUGGUCACUGACCCAUGGAGUGAGAGAGCUGACCGCCUUUGGACAGGAGUCUUGCUGGUGGAGCGCGGUGCCUCUGGGCACUUCUUGGUGGAGCUAAAGAGUUUUAACACUUGCCCAAGCAGGGCAGUAGUCCCAAGUAAAGGGCCUGGCAGCAUAGGGCCUGUGUGGAAGGGCCUGGUGGCAGCAGAGCGGAGGGCUAUCUUGGCUGAAAGCCAACCUAAUUGACAAACUAUAUCCUUUCUCCUAAAUUGUUCUUGUUACUUCCAAGUUGGUCCUGAUCCCAAAUUGUAACCUGUUACUUCCCCAAUAAACCACAUAAUUGUGAGUAUGGUCUGUGAGCUCUGUGUGGCCAUUGCAACAAAUUACCAAAUACAACAGAGAGGGUGCCAUGGGAGGGAUGACUGGUGUCAGAAUCAGUAAAAAGGUUGGAGAGUCUGACCUCCAUCUCAUAGGAAUCAGCCUUGGGCUGAUGCUGAUUCUCAUUACCCCCCUGAAGUUAGUCACCUUACACUGUCAGAAUGAAUUAUCAACAGAAAUAGAGACAAAGAGGCAUUUCUCAAGAGUGGCUGGACAGUGCAUGUUUUCUAAAAGAAGGGAGGUGUGGGUUGGAGACUUAAAGAUUUAUUGAUUAAAUGAACUUGAAUAUGUCCUUUUCACGUAUUCCUGUUAAAUUUUAUUUUACUUGUUCAGUCCAACAUUCCAGCCCCUGGGGAUUGCAUAAAAACCAGGUCUUAUCUAAUGAACUAUUCCUUCAAGUUUUGGGUCAUUUACAAUUUGAUAAGCAUUUCUUCCAUUUUCUCAUUUCAAAUCACUGAUAAACAUGUUGAAUAGGACAGGGCCAAGAAUAGAUUCCCAUGGGGCAUUUUUUUUUUAUUGUGGUCAAUGUAUACAUAAUAAAACAUUUGCCAUUUUGACUUUCUUCACACAUGUACAGUUCAGUGACAUUACAUUUAUCGUGAUGGUCAGCCAUCACCCUUAUCUGUUCCCAAAAUUUCCCAUCAUCCUUAACAGAAACUCAGUGUCCUCUAAGCAAUGGGUCCUCCUUUCCCCUUCUUCCAACCCACCCCUGGUAACGCCAAAUAAGCUUUGGUCUCUAUACACUUGCCUAUUUUAGUUUUUUCAUAUAAGCGGAAUCAGACAAUAUUUGUUCUUUUAUUUCUGACUUAUUUCACUUAGCAUCUUUUCAAGGUUCGUCCAUGUUGUAGCAUGUAUCAGGACUUCAUUUUCUCUAUGGCAGAGUAAUAUUCCACUGUAUGCAUGUAUGUAUAUACCACAUUUUAUUUAUCCAUUCAUUUGUUGAUGGGCGUUUAGGCUGUUUCUACCUUUUAGCUAUUGUGAAUGCCACUGCAACCCAUGAGGCACUUUUUUAAAAAUUUAAUUUUACUUAUUUUGUAGUUGUCAAGAAUAUACACAGCAAAGCAUACACCAAAUUCAAUGGUUUCUACGUGUACAAUUCAGUGACAUUGAUUACAUUCUUCGAGUUGUACAACCAUUCUCACCCUCUUUUUCUGAGUUAUUUCUACCCCAUUGACAUAAACUCACUGCCCCCUAAGUUUUCUAUCUAAUCUUUUGAGUUGCUGUUGUCAGUUUGAUUCCAUAUAGAUAGAUCUUGAAAAAGCACAAUGCUCAAGGUAGACAUUCUUUAUUAGUUAAGCUAAACAAUUAUUUGGCCACGAGACACUUUUAAAGAAUGUGGAAGUAAGAUUUCUUAAGCAAAGAAUCCAUGUAAUUUCUUGAUUAUGUGUACAAACAAAAAAACCCACUGCCUUCAAGUUGAUUCCGACUCUUGGUGACCCUAUAGGACAGAGUAGAACUGUCCCAUAGAGUUUCCAAGGAGCCCCUGGUGGACUUAAACUGCCGACCUUUUGGUUAGCAGCCAGAGCUCUUAACCACUAUGCCACCAGGGUUUCCUAUAUGUACAAGGGUGUCUCAAAUUUGAUAGCUUACUACCACACAAGAGUGUUAGGGUUUAGCUUGUCCCAAGGUAUGUUAUAUAAGGCUGUGCUCUUGUACCUUUGAAAUUCAUGAGUAUACUGACGUAUUUUUUUAAAUUAAUAAAUUAUUUAUUAAGCUACAUCAUUCUUGAUGAUAGUCCUGAAACUCUCUCUCCUCCUUUUAGACAUUAAUGAGAUUUUUCCAACCCUCAGGGCUCUAGGGAUGGUAGGUAUUAUAUAAGACUUACUAAUCAUUUGGUUAAUUGUGUUCUUGUAUUUUAUCUCUCUUUUACUAUGUGGUUAUAAAAAAGUUACAUCUUAACUAUUUAGGUGUGGUUAUCGGUGUUCAAGAUGGUUUCCAUGAUUGUCACCUCCUGGUAUUCAUGACCUUGUGCAGUCCCCUCCUAUGUUCAAACAAGUCUGCCUUGUGAAUUAAUAGAAUAUGGCAGGAGUGAUGGUGUAUGUCUUUCAAAAAUAGGUUGUAAAAGGCAUUGCAUCUUCUGCCUUGUCCUCUUGAGUUGCUCACUGGGAAAAGCGGAGGGAGUUAGCUUUCAUGCUGUAUGGCCACUCAGAGUUUCAUAGUGAAAUCCAUACAGAGAGCGGCCAACCUGUCAACACCAACUUGCCAUCCUUAUGAGCGACACUUGGUAAAGCCUUCCGAGGACUGCAGCCACCACUGACAUCUGACUGUAACCUCAUGAGCCCUGAGCCAGGGCCACCCAGACAAGCCACUACCAAAUUCCUGACCUGUGAGAGAUAAUGUUUAUUAUUGCUUUAAGCCCUAAAUUUCAGAUUAUUUGUUACACAACAAUGAAUAAUACAGGAGUCAUUGAGCUCAUGGCAUUAAUGAAUAUAGUUGAAUUGAAUAUCUGAUAGAGAAUAUUGCUGCAGAAAGAAAGGAAAGGUAGGUUAGAGACAAGCUCUGCUUUAGUCGUACUUAGAAAGAAAUGUCCCAGCAGUUUUUCUGGCCUGAAGAUCUUUCCUUAAAUCAUGUAAAAUCCCAGGUGCAGGGGGAAAAACUGGCUCUUUUUGCCCCUAAAACUAUAUUCAUUCAGUUUAUCGGAAAUUUAGCGAGCACUUACUUUGUGUAAGAAUUAGGAAGUUUGAGGAUAAGCAAAACAUAAUUGCUUAACAUAUUGCAAAAACAAAAGCCCACAUCCCAGCAGGGAAGGCAAACUCACAUACCACUAAUAAUGAGGUCAAUGUUCCUAGUAUGAACGGCCUACUGUGAUAGUGCGGGGUAGGUGCAGACAAGGAUGGUGGAGGGCCACAGUCUAGGUGGUGGGGCUUUGGAGAAAAAGCGAGGUUCUUCCAAGUGAAUUGGAGGUGCAAGGAUAGAAGGAAACUCAUUGCAGGUGGAGAGGGUGGGCAACGCAAAUCAAUGCCCAAUUUGAUGAGCCCGAAGACUGGAAAGGUGGGGUAGAGCCAGCCUGGGAAGGGCCUUGAAGGCCAUGCUAAGGAAUUUGGACUACCUCCUGCAGGCAGAGAGUGGGAUUGGGAGCAAGCUGGGCAGGUGUCAAAAGGCUUAAAGUCAGACUUAAGUGUGACCCUAACAAUUUCAGUAAAAAGCGCUCUGGAGAAAAUGUGGAGAAACUGAGGCAGACAGACCUUCUGUGAACUACUGCCUGGGCAAGGGCUGAUGAUGCCUUGAAUUAGGAUGGUGACUGUAGGAAUGGAAAGGAGGGGACAGAUUCCAAGGCCAUUUCAAAAUUGAGGGAGAUAAAUUUGGUGACAAUAACUUUCCAUCUUCCUUCCCUAGAUUCUAGGGGGAAAAACUGAAUAAUCCUAAACACCUUCCAAGAUAACACUUAUAUUUGAGGUUCCCUAAAAGCAGAGCCUGAGACGGGGAUAUAGGUGUGCAAGAGUUAAUGAGGGAGAGCUCCCAGGAGAAGGGGAAUGAAGGGUGCAGGGAGAUUGGAGGAAGAAGUUAACCAGAGGUAUGGUUUCAUCCGGAACCUAGCCUUAGUGUCAUCCCAAAUGGAGCUCUGGAGCAUGAAUAGCGCCACAAGGUUGGCCUCACCUUGGGACAAGAGAGCCAGGCUUUUACACAACACGUCACAGUCAUUACUGCAGGCUGCUGGGGGUGGAUAACCUCUCAGACAAGGGAUUCUGGUUGGCCAAGAAAGAUUCUCUAGAGAAAGGGGCAGCUACGAGUCAUCAGGAGUUUCUGAGUGGUGAAAGCGGUUAAGCGUUCAACUACUAGCCAAAAGGUUGGCAGUUCGAACACACUCAAACGCUGCCUGGAAAACAGGCUUGUCCCCAGCCUUGAAAACCCUAUGGGGUGGGAGGAACCGCUAUGGAGCAGUUCUACUCUGCACACAUGAGGUCGCCAUGAGUCAGAAUCAACUUAACGGCAACUAACAGCAACAUCAUUAGCAGCCAACAUUCAUAGCACUUGGGGAAGGGACGUAUCCGAAAGGCAAGCAGAAUCUGGAGGGCACCAGCAGCAACCAAUCCAUCCUCGUUCAUGCUCUUCACUCCAACCGACUCUCCUUUCCUUCCCCCACUUCCCCAAAAACAGUUCAUUUCAAACUGACUUGCCCUUCCUUCAAUGGGAGCUACAGCAUUUAUUAUAAGAACCAACUAGCUUCCUGGCUGGCAUAUCAGGGGCCUUUAGAGCAUUUUUCCACAGCUGCCUGCCCCCAGCCAGCCUUCCCAACCUCCUUUCAGCAGUUUCUCAAUGGUACCAGCGCAACCAGGCUACAGAUUUAUGGCCCUUUGGUUGAAGGGAGCAAUAAACCAUCAGGUAAUUGGAUGUGUUCCGUAUUUCCACCCUUAACCUGCCAUCUAUACUCAGUUCUGAUGACGAAGGGGAUUUGUGUGGUCCUGCCCACUAUGCAAAGAGCUUAAGAAUUGUUUCCAAGCUUUCCAUCAAAGGGCAGAUCAGAAAGGUAAAGACGCAGAGUUGGCUAAACUUUCUGCAAUUUUAAUUUACGUGACAAUCAUUAUGGUUAAUAUUUAUGGAUGGGUAAUUUUCCUUCCAACGCUAGUUUUCUCCUGUUGCAACAGUGGCUUUGUUGAUCCAGUUUCCAUGAAACAAUGGCAAAUCUUCAAUUUCCUAAUCUGAUGAAGCAGUUUAAGCACUUUCUAAGGAGCAGAUACCAAGUCUGGUAAGUUUAUCAAUUGGGACUUUGUAGGUUUGAGUAAGAAUUUUGGUGUUUUUUUUCACUGAGUUAGAUGGGGGGCCACUGGAAGGUUUUGAGCAGGAUGGAGAGGGCAUCUGACUUUUUUUUUUUAAAGGACCACUCUGGCUGUUGUAUGGACAAUGGGCAAGCAAGGAAGCAAGGGUGGAAGAGUGAGCCCAUUAGGAGGCUCCUGCAAUAAUCCAGAAGAGAGAGCAUGGGGCUUGACUAGGGUGGUAGCAGUGGAGAGGGUGAAAAAAGGGUCAGAUCCUGAAUACAUUUUGAAGAUGUAGCCAAGACAAUUUGCUGAUGGACUAGACGUAGGGUGUGAGAGAGAGAACCUUGAGAGUUCUUCAGAAGGCUGGGUGAGGUCCAUUUCUGUGGCUCAGAGACCUAAUGAUCUCCCAACUCAGUAUUUUUCAGACUUAUCAGUUGGUAAGAAUUAUCCAUCGCCAUUGAGUUGCUUCUCCCUCAUGGCAACCCCGUAUGCUUCAGAGUAGAACUGAGCUCCAUAGGGUUUUCUUGGCUGUGAUCUUUACUGACGCAGGUUGACAGGACUUUCUUCCCUGAUGCCACUGGGUGGGUUUGAACCACAAACCCUUAGGUUAGUAGUUGAGCACAAACUGUUUGCACCACCCUGGGACCUUGGUAAGAAUUACUCAGAUGAUUAUUAAAAAUACAGACUUAUCCUGAACCUAAUAAAUCAGAAUCUCCUGGGCAGAGGCCUGGGAAUCUUUUUAAAAAGCUCUCAGGAUUUUUAUAAUCAGGCCAGUUUGGGAAACACUUUAAUCUGUAUUCUUGGUUGUUGUUGCUAGGUGCUGUGUCAAGUCAGCUCUGACUCACAGUGACCCCGUGUAUAAUAGAAUGAAAUACCACCUGAUCGUGCGCCACCCUCACCACUGUUGCUAUGUUUGAGGCCAUUGUUGCAGCCACUGUGUCAGUUCAUCUCAAUGAGGGUCUCCCUCUCUUUUGCUGACCCUCUACUUUACCAAGCGUGAUGUCCUCCAGGGACUGGUUCUUCCUGAUAGCAUGUCCAAAUCAUGUAAGAAGAAAUCUCUCGCUAUUCUCACUUCCAAGGGGCACUCUGGCUGUACUUCUUACAAGACAGAUUUGUUCGUUCUGCUGACAGUCCAUGGUAUAGUCAAUAUUCUUUGCCAACACCAUAACUGAAAGGCAUCAAUUCUUCUUUGGUUUUCCUUCAUUGUCCAGCUUUCACAUGCCUAUGAGGUGACUGAAAAUGCCAUGACUUGGGUCAGGUGCAUCUUAGUCCUUAAAGUGACAUCUUUGCUUUUUAAUACUUUAAAUGUAUUCUUACAUCUAUGGAAAUAUGAGCACAGGAAAUAAUGGCUCAUGAAUAACUGGCUGGGGGCAAACACGUAACUUAUGGACUCAGGAAUUGAAUCAAGCCCCCUUCUGGGGAUUUUGGGCCCUCAAACCCAUCUGAUCUUCUGUGUGGAAAUUGUUUUCCUUUUUGCCAACUAGAAGGAACGCAUGACUUGGAUGGGUAGAAUGAAAGGUGGAGACCUCCAUACCAUCAAGCCCAUCUUAUGUGUCUAAUACAUUAAAAAUAUGCGCAUCACCAGGAAGUAUCUGGGUAGGGAGGUAUUGCUCUUUUUAAAAAAUAUUCUCUUUUGCAGCUCUCUAUGAUAACAGCUAACAAUAACAGCAUUUAGAAACAGCAGUUCCCUAGGUGGUGCAAAUGGUUUGUGCCCAACUACUGUCAUGAUUUGAAUUGUGCCCUCCAAAAAUAUGUGUCAACUUGGUUAGGCCAUGACUCCCGGUAUUGUGUAGUUGUCCUUUAUUUUGUGAUUGAUGUAAUUUUCCCAUGCGUUGAAAACCCUAAUCUCUGCCAGUGGCUAAUGAGGCAAGGUUAGAUUAUGUUUAAGAUGAUUAAGGUGGGAUGUAACACCCUUACUCAAGUCAUAUCCCGGAUCCAAUGUAAAGGGAGUUUCCCUGGGGUGUGGCCUGUUAUCAUCUUUUAUCUUACAAGAGAUAAAAGGAAAGGGAAGCAAACAGAGAGUUAGGAACCUCAUACCACCAAGAAAUAAGAGCCAUGAGAAUAGCAUGUCCUUUGGACCCAGGGUUCCUGCACUGAGAAGUUUCUGGACCAGGGGAAGGUUUAUGACAGGACCUUCCCCAGAGCUGACAGAGAGAAAGCCUUCCCCUGGAGCUAGCACCCUGAAUUCAGACUUCUAUCCUCCUAGAUUGUGAGAGAAUAAAUUUCUCUUUGUUAAAGGCAUCCACUUGUAGUAUUUCCUCUAUGCCAGCACUAGACGACUUAGCUAGUAACCUAAAGAUUGGCAGUUUGAGCCCAUUCAGUAGCAUGGCAGAAAAAAGGCCUGGUAAUCUGCUUCCUUUAAAACUACAGCCAAGAAAACCCUAUGAAGUAGUUCUGCUCUGUAACACGUGGGGUCUCCAUGAGUCAGGAUUGAUUCAAUGGCAACUGGUUUUAUUUAGAAAGAAAAGAAAGAGGGUCCUAAUACAUGGCAUAAAUGCAAUGCAAACCGUAACUAACAGUGCACAAACACCAGAAGAUAAACUAGAUAACUGGGAGAUCCUAAAAAUUAAACACUUAAGCUCAUCAAAAGAUUUCACCAAAAGAGUAAAGACAGAACCUAUAGACUGGGAAAAAUUUUUGGCUACAACAUAUCCGACAAGGAUCUACUCUCUCGAAUCUAUAGAAUACUUCAACACCUCAACAACAAAAAGACAAUCCAUUUUAAAAAUAGGCAAAAACAUUAAGAGACAUUUCACCAGGUAACAUUCCGGUGGCUAACAGACACAUAGGAAAUGCCUGUGAUCAUAAGCCAUUACAGAAAUACAAAUCAAAAUGACAAUGAGAUACCAUCUAACCCCAACUUUACUGGCAUUAAUAAAAAAGAAAAGAAAUGUUGGAGAGGUUAUGGGGAGAUUGGAACUCUUAUACACUGCAGGUAGGAAUGUAAAAUGGUACAACCACUAUGGAAAACAAUAUGCUGCUUCCUUAAAAAGCUAGAAGUAGAAAUACCAUAUGAUCCAGCAAUCCCACUCCUAGGUACAUAUCUUAAAGAAAUAGGAGGCAUCACACGAAUGGACGUAUGCAUACCCAUGUUUAUUGCAACAUUAUUCGCAAUAGCAAAAAGAUGAAAAGAACCUAAGUGCCCAUCAACAGAUGAAUGGAUAAACAAAUUAUGGUACAUACACACAAUAGAAUACUACACAACAGUAAAGAAUGAUGAUAAAUCCGUGAACCAUCUCACAACAUGGAUAAAUGUGGAGGGCAUCGUCCUGAGUGAAAUAAGUCAAUCACAAAUGGCAAAAUAUUGUAUGAGACCACUGUUACAAAAACCCAAAAAAAGGUUUACACAUAGAAAAAAACAAUCAUUGAUGGUUACAAGAGAGGGGAGGGGUAGGGAGGAGAAAUCAUUAACUAUCUAGUGCUAACUUUGGUGAAGGGAAAGACAACACACAAUACAGGGAAAGUCAGCACAACUUGAUGAAGGGCAAAGUCAUAGAAGCUUCCUAGACAUAGCCAAACAUUUUGAGGGACUGAGUUACCUGGGGUUGAUAGCUGGGGACUAUGGUCUUGGGGGACAUCUUGGUCAAUUGGCAUAACAUAGUUCAUAAAGAAAAUGUUCUUCGUCUUACUUCAGGGAGUAGCUUGGGGUCUUAAAAGCUUGCGAGCAGUCAUCUAAGAUACAUUUAUUGGUCUCAUCCCACCUGGAAAAAAAAAAAGGAAAAUGAAGAAAACCAAAGACAAAGGGAAAUAUUAGCCACAUGAACUACAAUCUCCACCAGCCUGAGUCCAGAAGAACUAGAUGGUUCCUGGCUACCACUAUCGACAGCUCUGACAGGGAUCACAAUAGAGGGUCCUGGACAUAGAGGGAGAAAAAUGUAGAACAAAAUUAAAAUUCACACAAAAAAAGACCAGACUUACUGGUCUGACAGAGACUGAAGGAACCCUGGAGACUAUGGCCCCCGGAUGUCCUACUAACUCAGAACUGAAGCCACUUCCAAAGUCCAUCUUUCAGCCAAAGACUAGACAGGCCUAUAAAAUAAAUAAUAACACAUGUGAGGAAUGUGCUUCUUAGUUCAGUCAAGUGUAUGAGACCAAAAAGCAAAGACGAGAAGGCAGGAAGGACAGGAAAAUUGAACUAAUGGACAUGGGGAACCGGGUGUAAAGGUAAAGGGGGAGAGUGCUGACACAUUGCGGGGAUUUCAACCAAUGUCACAAAACACUUUGUGUAUAAAUUUUUUAAUGAGAAACCCAUUUGCAUUGUAAACUUUCACCAAAAACACAAAAAAUUUAAAUAAAGAAAAAAAAGAGGAGAGUGAAGGGAAGUGGAAAGAAGGAAGAUGGGAAGGAAGAAUAAAGUAAGAGAGGGAAAGAGGCUGGACUCAAGAUUUACUGCAUAACAUACCUAAAUGUCACUUCAAGAAAAACAGAUACUGCCUUUAAAAAAGAAAGAAAAUUAUUAGAUAGUAGACAAGAACUAUUUUAGAUGAAGGGAAAGACAACACAUGAUACAGGAUAAGUCAGCACAACUGGACUAAACCAAAAGCAAAGAAGUUUCCUGAGUACAACUGAACACUUCGAAGGCCAGAGUAGCAGGGAUCAUGGUGUGGGGACCACAGCGUUAAGGGACAUCUAGGUCAAUUGGCAUAAGAAAAUGUAUUAAGAAAAUGUUCUGCAUCCCACCUUGGUGAGUGGCGUCUGGGGUCUUCAAUGCUAGCAAGCGGCCAUCUGAGAUGCAUCAAUUGGUCUCAACUCACCAGGAGCAAAGGAGAAUGAAGAACACCAAAGACACAAGGUAAUUAUGAGCCCAAGAGACAGAAAGGGCCACAUAAACCAGAGACUAUAUCAGCCUGAGACCGGAAAGAACUAGACGGUGCCUGGCUACAGCUGAUGACUGCCCUGAAAGGGACACAGUAGUAAAUCCCUGAUGGAGCAGGAGAACAGUGGGAUGCAGAUCUCAAAUUCUUAUAAAAAGACCAGACUUAAUGGUCUGACUGAGACUAGACGGACCCCAGAGGUCAUGGUCCCUGGACCCUCUCUUAGCCCAAGACUGGAACCAUUCCCAAAGCCAACCCUUCAGACAGGGAUUGGACUGGACUAUAAGACAGAAAAUGAUACUGAUGAGGAGUGAGCCUCUUGGCUCAAGUAGACACAUGAGACUAUGUGGGCAGCUCCUGUCUGGAGGCGAGAUGAAAAGCCAGAGGAGGACAGGAGUUGGUUGAAGGGACAUGGGAAAUACAGUGUGAAGAGGAGUGUGCUGUCUCUUUAGGGGGAGAGCAGCUAGGAGAACAUAGCAAGGUGUGUAUAAGUUUUUGUAUGAGAGAUUGACUUGAUUUGUAAACUUUCACUUAAAGCACAAUAAAAAAAAGAAAAUUGUAAGAUGCAAUAAGGAGUAUACAGUGCUACAUUCAAGAUAUUCUUUACAAAAAUUUAGCCUGACUGAGACUUGAUGUAACUCUGAGUUUACAGGACACACUGGGAAAAGAGGAACGCAACAUCUUAAACAACAACAUGGGGUGCAAUGAGGGAAAUGUAGACUGUAGGAAAUUACACAGGGCAAAGGACUGAGUUUCUCAAACAUGUAUGUGGCAAUGAAAAGGUGGAGGGGAAGAACCAAUAGAUUAAAAGAAACUUAAGCAACCAAAUGUAAUGUGUAGACCUAAUUCUGGCGUUAAAAACAUUUAUGAUGAUGGAACAAUUGGGGAACAGAUAAGGGUGAUGAUUGAAUAACAUGAUGAACGUAAGUUAAUGUCACUGAACUGUACACAGGAAGAAUGUUGAAAUGGCAAAUAUUUUGGUACAGAUAUAUUUGACACACACAUAAACAUUUAUGAGUAAAAAAAAAAUUUUUUUUUAAACAUUUAUGAGACAACUGGGCAAUUUGAACUAAAUAUUUGAUAUUUAGGAAUUAUUGCUAAUUUUGAAGUGUGAUGGUGAUUUUGAGGGCAUCAUAGUUAUCUAGUGCUGCUGUAACAGAAAUACCACAAGUGGAUGGCUUUAACAAGCAGAAAUUUAUUCUCUCAUAGAGAGAAAUUUAUUCUCUCUCUCUAGGAGCUACAAGUCCAAAUUCAGGAUAUUAGUUCUAGGGGAAGGCUUUCUCUCUCUCUUGGCUCUGGAGGAAGGUCCUUGUUAUCAAUCUUCCUCUGGUUGAGGAGCUUCUCAGUGCAGGGGCCCCAGGUUCAAAGGAUGGGCUAUUGUUUCCUGGCUCUUGUUUCUUGGUGGUUUGAGCGCCCCCCACUCUCCGCUCCCUUCCUUUUCUUUUUAUCUCUCGUAAGAUAAAAGGUGAUGCAGCCAAACUCCCUUUACAUUUGAUCAGGGAUGUGACCUGAGCAAGGGUUUACAUUCUACUCUAAUCCUCUUUAACAUUAUCUAAUCUUGCCUCAUUAACCACAGACAGAGAUUAGGAUUUACAACAUAUAGGAAAAUUGUAUCAAUCACAAAAUGGAGGACAACCGCAGAAUACUGGAAAUCAUCCUAACCAAAUUGACACGUAUUUUGGGGGGCACAAUUCAAUCCAUGAAGGAGGGAUUAUUAAAAAACAAGUCCUUUUUUAUAUACCUGCUGAACUAUUUAUGGAUGAAAUUAUUUGCCUGGGAAUUGCUUUAAGUUAAUCUAAUGAUGGAGGGAGGGGCAGGAGAAAGUAGGUGCGGUUGAGAUAAAACAAGAUUGGUUGAGAGUUGAUAAUUGUUGAAGCUGAGUGACAGGUGCACGGAGGUUCAUUGUACUUUUUCUGCUUGUGUGUAUGAUUGAAAUUUUUCAUAGUAAAAAGUUUAGAGACCCAAAGACUGGACCAGAGAGAAAACUGAAAACCAUACCUUCAGGGAGUACUGGCCCCACACUUUUUCACCCCUAUUUUUUAAAGAAAGACAGCACAUAUAUUUUUCCUGGAGAGUUGAUUAAUAAACAUCUAGCAGCACACUAGUGCUGUCUAACAUUCCCUAAAUAACUUGUCGCCAAUUUCCAACCAGGGUAACACAUUGUCUUUAAAUUCUAAUUCCAAAUUUCCAGUGGAGAUAAUCCAAUCUUCUGUCUUGAGUCAAUUGGCUGACUUUGGUUCAGUCGCCUAUAGCCAAGAAGGCAAGAUCACAUAGAAUUCAAGUCUUCCCCCAAAGCCAAGGAGGCUAUUAGAGAAAAGGAGUGUGCAAUGGGUCGAGGGGACAUUCCAAAAAUGUCUACUGUGACACACUCAGUAUACAAGAAGCAGCUAUGGCUUUGAAAAGUGAGCAAAAAAACAUGUAGAAAGAUAUGGUUGGGAUGGAAAGACAAUAGGGUAAGUUAGAAAGCCAAGGACAGAUAAAAUCCGAAGACAUUGCAAAAACAAUAACGUUUUACAUUUAUCACAUAGAGUAAAAGUAGAAAAAUGUGCUUGGGAAUGGGCAAGUCCAAGGUAAGGAUCAUUUCUACCAAUGGGAGGGGGGGAAUGGGAUCAGGGACAUGGACACUGAAGACUUUAUUUGUAAUUCUAUUUUAUUAAAAAAAAAGAUUUGAAGCAAAAAAAAAAAAAGAUAUUGCAAGAAAACUAAACCUCAAGAAUAGAAUUAAAAUUCAUUUUGCAUGAUGACCUUUAAAAGUUCUCCUUAAAUGCAGAGAAAAAGAACAGAGAAGUUGAUAGUUCUAAUACAGAGAACACAUAACUGUGUCAGAGACACAAUGGAAAUACCCAUUCUCUGUUUGCCUUACUGACAUAAUCUUAGUUUUGUUGGAGAUGGCAUUAAAAACAUUUUACCAUCUCCCUUGCAGCCAAGUGUGAACAUGUGGCAUAUUUCUUCCCAACGAGACAUAAACUGAAGUUUAGUGGGUAUUGCUGGAAUAGCAUCGCUUCCUGAUAUAGGUGCCAACCCUUCCUCCCUCUGGCCUCUUCCUUCUCCUUGGAUCAUAGAUGUGAUAGCUGCUGCUGGAGCAGCCGUAUUUUGACCAUGAGGGGGAAAAGCCAACGGAAUCAGGGCCCUGGGCUCAAAUAUCCUUAGACCAUUUGACUAAGACCAGAAAUUGCGUAUCCCUGGACAUUCCAUUAUAUGAUCAAAAUAAAUCCCUAUUUUGUUUAAGAUACCGAUAUCUGGGUUUUCUGAAACAUAAAGAUGAACUCAAAAUCCUUAACUGAUGUGCUAGCAUACAUAUAAUUAGUGUUCCUCAGGAAGAGACCAGAACAAAUGGGUAGACCUAAACACUGAAUCUAUAAGAGAAUAAAAUUAUCCUGAGAUGGAGAAAUAUGCAGAUUGAAGAAGCAUAUUGUCUCCUGAAUAAAAUCAAUGAAAAGAUCUACAUCUAAUAACAUUUAAAGAUAUCCCAGCAAAGCAUCUAAACUUUGAGUAAAAAAGGUGGGAUCCAGGUAGAAAAAGGAUAACAAAGGAGCAAAAAUCAGGCUGGCUUUAAUAGCAACCCCCACAGAGUUUUAAGGGGAACAAUGCUGUGACCCAAGGAUUUCACAACCAGUGUGUCUUUUAUGUGUGAGGGAGAAAUAAGAACGUUUUCAGACAUGCAAGAUCUCAAAAAAAUAUAUCCUACCUAACAUACAAUAAAAUACCGUGCAGUUAUUUAAAAAAAAGAACAUGGAAGCUUUUUAUGUAGUUUUGUGGAAAGAUCACCAAGAUAAAUUGUUACAUGAAAGAAGCAAGUUACAGACCAGUGUGUGUAAUAUUCUACCUUAAGGAUUAACAUGUAGGAAAUAUAAGAAUCUAAAUUAGUGUUGGCUUGUUUAUUCGCAAAGACAUGAAGGGAAACAUGAGAAACUAGAAACUGUGGCUAAUGGUUGUUAGAGGAAGUUAUACUGAGAAGACAGGGGAAGAGAAUGAGUAAUUUUUCACAUGCUUUGGUUUGGUUUUUGAAUCAUGUGACAGUACUACCCAUUCAAAAAUUUAAACUUAAAAUACUGUAUUUUAAACUUAAAAAUAAUAUACAAUAUAUAUAAAGAAAAACAAAAACCCAUUGCUGUCAAGUUGAGUCCAACUCACAGCAACCCUGUAGGACAGAGUAGAACUAACCCAUGAAGGCUUACCAAGGCUGUAAAUCUUUACCAAAGCAGACUGGUAAUAUGUAUAUAUAUAAAGAGAGAGAGAAAUAGAGAGAGAGGGACAUACUAUGUUGCACUAACUGCUCUAAACAAGGGUCGUUGUGGGCAAACCCCACCUUCACUGAUAACUGCAUGGUAAAGAUCAGCAGGACUCCAAUACAUACCUGAAAAUGGAUCCAGUCCAUAUCUUUCCACUUCUCUAUCCUCAUCACCAGCUGACCCAAGGGGCACUCUCUUUCGUUCUUGCCCAUCCACGGGUAGGCCAGGGGGCACCUGCCACAAGCUCAGAAAACCACAUGGUUCCCUUCAUUUUAGACCAGCCAAUGCUUUCUCUCUCUCAUCUCUAAUUACCAAGGGCUAGGCCAGGGGACACAAGUUAAAGGACAAAGUCCUUCAUGCUGCCAAUAGGCAGACCCAGCUCCUGCUGGCUUUCCGUGCUCCUGUGGGUUUCCAUAAUUCCCUGGGAUGACUCACAGAGUUCAUGGAGAGUACAAUACCGAUUUAUUAUAACCAGAAAGGAUAUAAAUGAAGAGACACAUAGAGUGAGGUGGGGGAGGGCCCCAGAGCAGAACUUCCAUGCCCCCAGGGAACACAUUCUCCCAAGAUCAGAAUGUUCACUCUUUCCAAACCAGAAGCUCCACUAAACCCCCAUCUUCAAAGCCUUUAUAACAUGGCCUAAUCACAUAUAAAGGAAAAUUAUAUCAUGCUCUUGAGGCUGCCAAUAUCAGAUCCCCAGGUGGUCUGGCUCUCAGGACCAAGAACAAAAGGCCAAAUUGCUUCACCUUACAUAUGUAUUUAACAUCUGCUUUAGUACUUUAAAGAUAUAUACCAGCUGGCAGGAGAAGAAAGCAAAAUUCAAACCCCGGGAAUGCAGAAGUUGUGGUAUAAGAUGUUGUUGUUGUUAGCUGUCCUCGAGUCGGCUCCGACUCAUAGCGACCCUAUGAAAAACAGAACGAAACACUGCCUCGUCCUGCGCCAUCCUUACAAUCGUUGUUAUGCUUGAGCUCAUUGUUGCAGCCACUGUGUCAAUCCACCUCGUUGAGGGUCUCCCUCUUUUCCGCUGACCCUGUACUCUGCCAAGCAUGAUGUCCUUCUCCAGGGACUGAUCCCUCCUGACAACAUUUCCAAAGUAUGUAAAAUGCAGUCUCGCCAUCCUUGCCUCUAAGGAGCAUUCUGGCUGCACUUCUUCUAAGACAGGUUUGUUCCUUCUUUUGGCAGUCCAUGGUAUAUUCAAUAUUUUUUGCCAACACCACAAUUCAAAGGCAUCAACUCUUCUUCGGUCUUCCUUAUUCAUUGUCCAGCUUUCAAGUGGAUAUGAUGCAAUUGAAAAUACCAUGGCUUGGGUCAGGCGCACCUUAGUCUUCAGGGUGACAUCUUUGCUCUUCAAUACUUUGAAGAGGCCCUUUGCAGCAGAUUUACCCAAUGCAAUGCAUCUUUUGAUUUUUUGACUGCUGCUUCCAUGGCUGUUGAUUGUGGAUCCAAGUAAAAUGAAAUCCUUGACAACCUCAGUCUUUUCUCCGUUUAUCAUGAUGUUGCUCAUUGGUCCUGUUGUGAGGAUUUUUGUUUUCUUCAUGUUGAGGUGCAAUCCAUACUGAAGGCUAUGGUCUUUGAUCUUUAUUAGUAAGUGCUUCAAGUCCUCUUCACUUUCAGCAAGCAAGGUUGUGUCAUCUGCAUAACGCAUGUUGUUAAUGAGUCUUCCUCCAAUCCUGAUGCCCCGUUCUUCUUCAUAUAAUCCAGCUUCUCAUAUUAUUUGUUCAGCAUACAGAUUAAAUAGGUAUGGUGAAAGAAUACAACCCUGAUGCACACCUUUCCUGACUUUAAACCCAUCAGUAUCCCCUUGUUCUGUCCAAACAACUGCCUCUUGAUCUAUGUAAAUGUUCCUCAUGAGCACAAUUAAGUGUUUUGGAAUUCCCAUUCUUUACAGUGUUAUCCAUAGUUUGUUAUGAUCCACACAGUUGAGUGCCUUUGCAUAGUCAAUAAAACACAGGCAAACAUCCUUCUGGCAUUCUCUGCUUUCAGCCAGGAUCCAUCUGACAUCAGCAAUGAUAUCCCUGGUUCCACAUCCUCUUCUGAAACUGGCCUGAAUGUCUGGCAGUUCCCUGUCAAUAUACUGCUGAAGCCGUUUUUGGAUGAUCUUCAGCAAAAUUUUGCUUGCAUGUGAUAUUAAUGAUAUUGUUCUAUAAUUUCCACAUUCGGUUGGAUCACCUUUCUUGGGAAUAGGCAUAAAUAUGGAUCUCUUCCAGUCAGUUGGCCAGGAAGCUGUCUUCCAUAUUUCUUGGCAUAGGCGAGUGAGCACCUCCAGCGCUGCAUCUGUUUGUUGAAACAUCUCAAUUGAUAUUCCAUCCAUUCCUGGAGCCUUGUUUUUCACCAGUGCCUUCAGAGCAGCUUGGACUUCUUCCUUCAGUACCAUCGGUUCCUGAUCCUAUGCUACCUCUUGAAAUGGUUGAACAUCGACUAAUUCUUUUUGGUAUAAUGACUCUGUGUAUUCUUUCCAUCUUCUUUUGAUGCUUCCUGGGUCAUUUAACAUUUUCCCCAUGGAAUCCUUCGCUAUUGCAACUCAAGGCUUGAAUUUUUUCUUCAGUUCUUUCAGCUUGAGAAACGCUGAGCAUGUUCUUCCCUUUUGGUUUUCCAUCUCCAGCUCUUUGCACAUGUUAUUAUAAUACUUUACUUUGUCUUCUCGAGAGGCCCUUUGAAAUCUUCUGUUCAGUUCUUUUACUUCAUCAAUUCUUUCUUUUGCUGUAGCUGCUCGACGCUCAAGAGCAAGUUUGAGUCCUCUGACAUCCAUCUUGGUCUUUUCUUUCUUUCCUGUCUUUUCAGUGACCUCUUGCUUUCUUCAUGGUUGAUGUCCUUGAUAUCAUUCCACAGCUCCCAUGGUCUUCGGUCACUAGUGUUCAAUGCAUCAAAUCUAUUCUUGAGAUGGUCUCUAAAUUCAGGUGGGAUACACUCAAGGUCAUAUUUUGGCUCUUGUGGACUUGCUCUGAUUUUCUUCAGUUUCAGCUUGAACUUGCAUAUGAGCAAUGGAUGGUCUGUUCCAGUCGGCCCCUGGCCUUGUUCCGACUGAUGAUAUUGAGCUUUUCCACUGUCUCUUUCCACAGAUGUAGUCAAUUUGAUUUCUGUGUGUUCCAUCUGGCAAGGUUUGUGUGUAUAGUUGCCGUUUAUGUUGGUGAAAGAAGGUAUUUUCGAUGAAGAAGUUGUUGGUCUUGCAAAAUUCUAUCAUUCAAUGUCCGGCAUUGUUACUAUCACCAAGGCCAUAUUUUCCAACUACUGAUCCUCCUUCUUUGUUUCCAACUUUUGCAUUCCAAUCACCAGUAAUUAUCAAUGCAUCUUGAUUGCAUGUUCGAUCAAUUUCAGACUGCAGCAGCUGAUAAAAAUCUUCUAUUUCUUCAUCUUUGGCCCUAGUGGUUGGUGCGUAAAUUUGAAUAAUAGUCGUAUUAACUGGUCUUCCUUGUAGGCGAAUGGAUAUUAUCCUAUUACUGACAGCAUUGUACUUUGGGAUAGAUCUUGAAACGUUCUUUUUGACGAUGAAUGCAACACCAUUCCUCCUUGAGUUGUCAUUCCCAGCAUAGUAGACUAUAUGAUUAUCCGAUUCAAAAUGGCCAAUACCAGUCCAUUUCAGCUCACUGAUGCCUAGGAUAUCAAUGUUUAUGUGUUCCAUUUCAUUUUGGACGAUUUCUAAUUUUCCUAGAUUCGUACUUCAUACAUUCCAGGUUCCAAUUACUAAUGGAUGUUUGCAGCUGUUUCUUCUCAUUUUGAGUCGUGCCACAUCAGCAGAUGAAGGUCCUGAAAGCUUUACUCCACCGACGUCAUUAAGGUUGACUCUACUUUGAGAAGGCAGCUCUUCCCCAGUCAUCUUUUGAGUGCCUUCCAACCUGGAGGGCUCAUCUUCCUGCACUAUAUCAGACAAUGUUCCGCUGCUAUUCAUAAGGUUUUCACUGGCUAAUGCUUUUCAGAAGUAGACUGCCGAGUCCUUCUUCCUGGUCUGUCUUAGUCUGGAAGCUCAGCUGAAACCUGAGUCAUCCUGCUGGUAUCUGAAUACUGAUGGCAUAGCUUCCAGCGUCACAGCAACACACAAGCCCCCACAGUACGACAAACUGACGGACACAUGGGGGUGUGGUAUAAGAGUGGGUUGGAAUAUACAGUUGAAAGUAGAAAAUCCUCGUAAUUAUUGUAGAGCAGAUUUCAAUAACAUUGGGGAAAAAAAUGAUUCUUGAAAGAAUACAUACAAUAUCAAAUAUAAUAGUUUAGUAAUAAUUAGUAAUUUACUUUAUAAUGUAAUUUAUUAAUAAUAAUGUUGAUCUAAAAUCUUGGAUUAUAUUAUCAAUUUCAGGAUAGCUCCAAAGAGAGUUUUGCUGUUAGUUCUGAAAAAGAAUCAUAGAUUAAAGAAUGUUUUUGGGAAAAAUUUUAAAGCCAAUCACCAGUAUGGUUAAAAAUAGGAUGCAUACAUUCUACGUUACUGGAGAUUAUAAAGGUAUAGAAAAUGCAGCCCAUAUAGCAAAAGUUAGAAAAUAAAGAAAAAAAUAACAAAAAACUAAAUGCGUAUGUAAGAACUAUAUCAAUUGUAAUGAUAAAUGUAAGGUGAUUAAACUAUUAUUAAAAGACAACACUGCAGAUUAGGACACAAAAUCAUAACCGUAUGCUAUUUACAAGCUACAUGUAUAAUGAAGUAACCAAAAAAGUUAAAAAUUUAAGAAAAGUAAAAAUGAUACCAGGGAAGUAGAAAUAAAAAAAAUCAAGGUAGUAGAUUACAACCAGUCAGGUAGAAUUCAAGGCCUUGUCACAUUAAUAAAAUUCACACUAAAGAUUUACGUGUUCCUUUUGCAAUGAAUUGUAUUACAUUAAAAUAUUUAAAACAAAAAACUGUUAGAAAUCUUAAGAGAAACUAAGUAAAACAUAGUCAUCAAAAAGAUUUAAUUCAAUAUCACUAAGUAUCGACCUAUCAGGGAAGACACAUAAAUAACAUGACAGAGAAUCUUAAUAAUUAACAAAAGUAAUUAGUUAAAUGAGAUUUAAAAAUAAAAAUUAACUACUUGGAAACUUAAAAAAUUACCCUUCUAAAUAACAUUUGAGAUAAAGACGAAAAAAAAAAAUCAAAACCACAACUCUUCAGAAAAUAAAAAUGACAAAUUAAAUAUCAAAAUUUAUGCAGUGGACCAAAACUGUACUUGAGAGGAGAAUUCAUAGCUUAAAAAGUUUUCAGUUUAACAAUAUACAAUGUGUUAAAACAAAAAAUGUAUUAAGCCAAUAAUAGAAACUGAAGUUUAUUGAAUAUAUGAUUUGUAAAUAAGGGUAACAUUUCAAAUAGAAUAUGUAAAAUAUUCAGAAGAUGAGAGAACUUCAAAAUACUUAUACCAAAUAUUAUCAGCAUUGCCAAGGAAAAAAGGGUCUGAACUGAACUGAUAAACAAUUUGUGGUCAGGAAAGAUUUUCAUACAGAAUUGUCUUGAAGAGCAAUUAACUAACAAUUUACCCUAAACAUACCUCCCAGUCUGACCCUUGGAGUCUGUUUUCCAAAACUGAGUUCUUCAAAUAAUGCAAUGCCCAAGGCAUAUGGUCUUGUUAGUUUACUUAGACCAUUGUUUGACUCAAUGGUGGCUUUUAGAAACCAAUUUUUUUCAAGGCUCAAGGUUCAAAAGGAUACCUAAGGGCAAUGACCUAUGUGGGUUACACCAGUGUCCAUGGAAGCCAGAAAUCUAGAUUCCAGGAGAAUUAAAACAGUUUAUCAAAUUAAAGUAAAUUAACUAAUUAUCCAACUCAGAAGUUGAGAAAAUAGCAAUGAGAUGAAUCCAGGAAACAUAAAUAGAAGAAAUCAGAUAAAAGCAUCAACCAAUAAAUUGGUAAAAGACUAAAUACACUUCUUUUAUUUUUUUAAGGAAAAAUCACACUUUGCCCCAGUUGAAUAAUAUUUAUUAUGAUGGUAUUAUAACUUUUUAGGGGCUCUGGCAACAGUGAUAUGACCCAAGGUCACCUAGAUACACCUAAUUAGUAUCCCUUACCUCACACUGUAGCCUGAAUUAGGGCUAGAAGCUCUGUUCAAGCCACAGACUCUUCUUAUUUUUAAAAAUAAAUCAUGAAACUUUGCUACAUAAACAUUUUAAAAAAUUCAUUCUUUCAAAAGAUCAGUAAAAUGAACAAGUCUCUGACAAGUCUUUCAUUCAGGAAUGAACAUAUGAAUUUCCAAGAUUUUAGGAAUUAUUGGAAUUAAAAAAAAUUUUUUUUUUUUUGUAGGACUUAGGGAAUUAUAAUGGAAUCCACAGAUUCAAAUAAUUUUUUUUUAAGUUUAAGGGAAUACAAUGUUAACAAAACAACACAAAAAACAGGGAAGGACUACUCAAUAAAUCGUAUUAGGGUAAUUGACCAGUAAUUGGGGGAGAAAAAUAUUUAAUUUCUCCUUUUACAUUAUUCACAAAAAGUCAAUUUUUAAUAUAUGUUCUCUCUAGGGCUGAUUUUAAAGCAUUCAUCUCUCCACCCAUACUCAGUAUUAGGCCUUUUACCUCUCCACGCGUUUAGGAAAAAGAUAUAAUAUGAAUAAAUUCCCAGCUAUUAAACCAUGUUUAAAAAUCCAAAAACCCAGUGCCAUCGAGUCAAUUCCAACUCAUAGCGACCCUAUAGUUUUUUUUUUUAAACCAUGUUUAGGAUAAAUAAUAUUGAGUUAUGGUUCCUUGUUUGAAAUAAUUUUAUAUCAUACAUCAUAACCAGUCCCUAGGAAUAAGUGAAUUCAUACAUUGUUGUCACUGCCUUUAAGAGUUGAGUUCCCAGAGAAAUAUCAAAGGAGGAUUUUUCAGGAACUUCACCCAGGAAGGGGCCUCCACUGAGGAGGGAGUGGGGGAGAAAGCAGGGGUGAGUCAGUGAGAACUUUUCCUCUAUCAGCACAAAAUUCAGGAAGCUAUUUUCUCCUGAAGCUGGGUAAGGUUUGCGAUCUGAAGGGGGGCUAGAGAGAGGGGAGGAGAUGGUUCAGACACCCUCAAGGCAAAAAGCUCCCCUUCAGGGGCCCUACAGAGACUUGGAAGGAAAAAUUCUAUUGAGUCAGGAAAAUCCUGGUGUGAACCAGGCCUUGAGGGAUGGCUGGCACCUGUCCCCCUAAGGCAAUGGUUCUCAGCCCUGGCGCCACGGUGGAAUCUCCUGGGGGAGCUUUAAAAACACACUGAAGCCUGGGCUCCCACCUUCAGAGGUUCUGAGCGAAGUGAUCUUAGGUCCAGCCCAGUCUUAGGGAUUUAUUAUGAUUAUUAUUGUGCAAAGUAUAUACGUUGUCCUGCGGAAACCCCAGGUUCUGCUCAGCACAACUCAUCUUAGCCAAUAAAUGAGAGACUGAGGUGGGAGAGUGGAAAGCUACCUUUAUUUCAUUGCGCAAGGAAAGGAAACAGUUGGGGCUGCUGCCACCAAAACUACUCAGCAAAGGCAAUGCUGAAGGUUACUUUUAAGGGGUUUAGAAGUAGGAAGUUCAUACGAGUUACAUCAGCAACAUUCUUAAUCAUACAACACAGGCACAAUGGGGUUUACAUAUAACUUCAUACAUCACAUGUUCAGAAAAUGGCAGUUAAACUCCACCCAGAGGCAAGAAAGUUACCAUGUAUGAGGUUUAAAAGGUUAUCCUGAACGUCAACAUGGCACCUAAACCGGUUUCUACCAAUUUCCUCUGGUUUUGGGCAGCAGUUAAGGAGAGGGGAACCAGAAAUUUAAUGUAAAGCUAUGAGGUGUGUCAAACAAAGGAACUGGGAUAUUAAUGUAAAGCUAUGGGUUAUGCCAAGCAAGCUGCUUGAGGCAGUGGAAUUUUCCACAGCUAGGAACUUUUGUCUUAUACGGAUAUCAGAACAUUUGCUGUUUCUACAAUCUUCAUUUGUGUAGUUCAAUGGCAUUAAUUAUGUUCGUAUGUUUUUCACCCAUUACCAUUGACUGUUCCCCAAUUCUUCCAUCACCCUUAGCAGAAGUUCACCUGAGGAUUUUUAAAACAUACACAAGUACUUCCAAUGUGCAGCCAAGGCUGAGUCAGUAAAUGCUGACAAUCCAAAUCUCUUUGCCUUUUUUUUUUUCCUUUGCUUUUUUUUAAAUUGUGAUUUAGGUGAAAGUUUACCAAGCAAAUUAGUUUCUCAUUAAACAGUUAAUAUAUAAAUUGUUUUGUGACAUUGGUUGCCAACCUGGCGAUGUGUCAGCACUCUCUCCUUCUUCACCCUGGGUUCCCUGUUUCCAUUUUGUCCAGUUUUCCUGUUCCCUCUUGCCUUCUAGCCUUUGCUUUUGGGUUGGUAUAUCCAUUAGUCUCCUAUGCAUAAAUUGAACUAUGAAGCCUGUUUCUCACAUGUGUUAUUGAUGGCCAUAUAGACCUGUCUCAUCUUUGGCUGAGGAGUGAGCCUCAGGGGUGACUUCAGUACUGAGUUAAAAAGAUGUCUGGGGGCCAUAUUUUGGGUGUUUCUCUAGUCUCUGUCAGAUCAAUAAGCUUGGUAUUUUUUGGGGGGUGGAAGUGUUUUGAAUUUUUUCCUGUAUUUUUCUCCCGCUCUGCUUGGGACCCUCUAUUGUGAUCCCUGUCAGAGCAGUCGGUGGCAGUAACUGGGCACCAUCUAGUUGUUCUGGGCUCAGUCUGGUGGAGGUUAUGGUAGUUGUGGUCCAUUAGUUCUUUGGACUAAUCUCUUCCCUGUGUCUUUGGUCUUCUUCAUUUUCCUUUGUUCCAGACGGGAUGGGACCAGUAGAUGUGGCUCAGAUGGCCGCUUGCAGGCUUUUAAGAUCCCAAAUGCUACUCAGCACAGUCAGCUGUAGAACAAUUUCUUUAUAGACUAUGUUAUGCCAAUUGAGCUAGAUGUCCUCCAAGGCCAUGAACCCCAGCCCUCAGACCAGUAAUUGAUCUCUCAGGGUGUUUGGAUUUGUCUGUGAGGCUUCUAUGACUUUGCCCUGGAAGAGCUGAUGUUUAUUGAGAGCUUACCCUGUGCCAGGGCCUAAUCCACUUGUUUGCCCCUUUAAACCUCUCAAUAAGGUUAUGUAUAGGGCUGUUGUUUUCCUAUAUACAGAGGGGCCACUGAGGCAUAAAGAAGUUAAGUACGCACCAAGGUUACACAGUUCUCUACUUGAACUUCAGAGUUGUAAUGCUGUGCUGCCAAGGAUUGCAGCCAAUUCCUGCCCCCUGAUGCCCCUGGGGAGGAAAGAUAAUCUGAAAGGGCAGGAGCAUCUCCACCCCAACUAGUCUGCCUGGUGCCAGAGGUGGAAUUGAUGGGCACAAAAGACUCACCAAGAAGGAAACAACUCCUUCAUAGACCCUCCUGAGACUAACCACAAACCCUGAUUCACCUGCCUACCAGAGACAUCUGAGCUGACUGCAGGCCACCUGAUUCUUCUCCAGCCCCUUCUGAUUCUCGUCACUAUUGGCUCCCUCCCAAUCCAAAACGUGUGAGGGUUUCACAGCGUUUAGGUCCUUACCUGAGGCUCGUGGGUGGAAGAUGUCAACCCAACCC